CCUACGGGCGGCAGCAGUCGAGAAUCAUUCACAAUGGGGGAAACCCUGAUGGUGCGACGCCGCGUGGGGGAAUGCAGGUCUUCGGAUUGUAAACCUCUGUUAUGUGGGAGCAAAUUAAAAAGCUAGUGCCAUUAGAGGAAGAGACGGCUAACCCUGUUCCAGCAGCCGCGGUAAUACAGAGGUCUCAAGCGUUGUUCGGAGUCACUGGGCGUACAGCGUGCGUAGUCGGUUUCGUAAGUCGUGUGUGAAAGGCGCGGGCUCAACCCUCGGACGGCACAUGAUACUGCGAGACUAGAGUACUGGAGGGGGAAGCGGAAGUCUCGGUGGAGCAGUGAAAUGCGUAGAUAUCGAGAAGAACACUCGUGGCGAAGGCGGGUUCCUGGACAUUAACUGACGCUGAGGCACGAAGGCCAGGGGAGCGAAAGGGAUUAGAUACCCGUGUAGUC
rnacentral:rRNA from 1 species